GCGUCGAUGUCCGAGCAGUUAAUGGGAAUGGACUAUAAAUUCAUUGGCAACAUCUCUAUGCUGGUUCAAAUCCAGCUCGACCUA
rnacentral:tRNA from 1 species